UUUUGGCUGCUAUAACAGAAUAUCACACACUGGUAAUUAAUAAAGAAUAGAAUUUUAUUUGACUCAUGAUUCUGGAGGCUGGGAAGCCAAAACAACAUUAUACUGGUAUAUGUUGAAGGUCUAGUUGCUGGAUAAUAACAUACACAAAGAUGUGAGGGAGAGAGAGCUUUUUUUUUUUAAUAUAUAACAGAUCCAUUCUUGUUAUAAUUAGCCCAUUCCCAUAAUAAGAACGUUAAUCCAUUCAUGAGGGCAGAGUGCUUAUAGCUUAAUUAAUUUUUAAAGGUUCCACCUGUUAAUUCUAACAUGUUGGCUAUUAAAUUUUAUCCUAAAUUUUGGAGAUGACAUUCAGUGUACAGCAGUAUCUGUUUAGUAGAUACUUUAAUCUUUUUAUUUGUAAGGUAGUGAUAGGUAAGCAGUUACUAUUGUACAUUUGUAGUUUUCUGUCCAUUUUAAGUUUGCUUCUUUUUUUUCUGGUUCUGUCUUUCCUGUGGUAUUGUUCAUUUUUGUUGAGACAAAGUUAUGCUUUCUUGCUCAGACUGAAGUGCAGUGGCAUAUCACAGCUCACUGUAGCCUUAACCUCCUGGGCUCAAAUAAUCGUCCCACCUUAGCCACCCAAGUAGCUUGGACUGCAGACAUGUACCACAACACCCAAGGAGAUUUGAUUCUUCCACCUUGGCCUCCCAAAGUGUUGGAAUUAUAAGCAGGAGACACCAUAUCCAAUGUGUAAUUUUUGUUGUUUGUGUAUGCUUUAAUUACUUUCUCUUUUUCUUUACUAUUUUUUUUUCCUACUGGUUAUCAUGAGACUUAUGUAAAACAUCUUGUAUUUUAAUAGUCUAGUUUAAGAUGAUAACAAUUUAUAGUAUUCUGAAAUUCAGUAUGUAUUUACCAUUUUAGUGACAUUUAUACUUUAGUAUUUUUCAUAUUGUUAGUUAGCAUUUCAUCAUAUCAAUGUGAAGAUUUCUUCCAGACCAUGGCUGGAGAAGGAAAGAAGGUGUGUUUUGCCUGAUUCAGGGACUAUAGAGAGAACCAAGUUCUGCAGGCCUGUCAUCUAAGUCUCAGGGCGGGGAGACCUUCCUUCCCCACGGGUUUGAGGCUAUGGCUAAGUGGUGAGCCUUGGUGAGACGCAGAAAGGAUCCAUCCCAGGCACUUGGCUAGAGCUUUUGCAUAUGCAGAAGAAGAAUUGGAUGAAAUUCAGCCUUCAUUAUGAUGAAAACUCUCAACAAGUUAGGAAUAGAAGGUAUGUGCCUUAAUACAGUAAAGGCCAUUUAUGAAAAAGCAAUGCUAACUUUAUACUGAAUAAGGAAAAGUUGAAAGCUUUCUCUCUGAGAUCUGGAACAAGACAAAUCAUCCAAACUUUCAGCCCUCUUAUUCAACAUAGUACUGGAAGUCCUAGCCAAGGAAAUUAGGCAAGAGGAAGAAAUAAAAGUUAUACUAAUUGGAAAGGAUGAAGUCAAAUGGUCUCUCAUUGUGGACAAAAUAAUCUUAUAUGUGAAAAACUCUAAACACUACACCAAAAACUAUUAGAACUACUAAACAAAUUCUGUAACAUUGCAGAAAAUUAACACAG
rnacentral:lncRNA from 1 species